GACAAACGCUGGCGGCGUGCCUAAUACAUGCAAGUCGAACGCAGUGGGGACGGGUGAGUAACACGUGGGUAACCUCCCAUCAGAGGGGAUAACACUUGGAAACAGGUGCUAAACCGAUACUGAUUUAUGGACCCUCGGUGCAUUAGCUAGUUGGUGAGGUAACGGCUCACAAAGUCCACGAUGCAUAGCCGGGCUGAGAGGGUGAUCGGCCACACGGGAACUGAGACACGGCCCAGACUCCUACGGGAGGCAGCAGGAGGGAAGCUUCGGCAAUGGACGAAAGUCGGACCGAGCAACGCCGCUUGAGUGAAGAAGGUUUUCGGAUCGUAAAACUCUGUUGUUAGAGAAGCGGUAGAUAAAGAGAAAGCCACGGCUAACUACGUGCCAGCAGCCGCGGUAAUAG
rnacentral:rRNA from 1 species